rfam:Phytophthora infestans T30-4 supercont1.26 genomic scaffold, whole genome shotgun sequence.
CCGAGUGAAGCUCCGUUGGUAGAGCGAUUGACUGUAGUGUUCUAUACUGUGUUUCAGUAUUCUCGGAAAUCAAUUGGUCGCUGGUUCGAUUCCGGCCACUCGGA